CUACGUGCCAGCAGCCGCGGUAAUACGUAGGUCCCGAGCGUUGUCCGGAUUUAUUGGGCGUAAAGCGAGCGCAGGCGGUUAGAUAAGUCUGAAGUUAAAGGCUGUGGCUUAACCAUAGUACGCUUUGGAAACUGUUUAACUUGAGUGCAAGAGGGGAGAGUGGAAUUCCAUGUGUAGCGGUGAAAUGCGUAGAUAUAUGGAGGAACACCGGUGGCGAAAGCGGCUCUCUGGCUUGUAACUGACGCUGAGGCUCGAAAGCGUGGGGAGCAAACAGGAUUAGAUACCCUGGUAGUCCACGCCGUAAACGAUG
rnacentral:rRNA from 1 species